GAAACUUGAGACUAAACUCAACAACAGAGAAAGAGAAGCCAAUCAGAUGGCUGAGAAUUUGGAAAAUGAAAAGAUCUGCUCCUGUGUUGCAGGUGGUUUUAUAGAAGGUGUUUUGUCAUUGUGAUCACAAGAGCAUCUGAGGACUGCAGGAGGGCUGUCAAAGGAUCUUGAAUCCAACCGCAAUCGCUUGCAGAAUCAGCUGCGCAAGAAAGAAGCUGAAAAUAAUCGGCUGGAGGCUCAGAUUCAAAGGCUGGAAGGGACACUGCAGCAUCAACAGGAGGAGGUGCAAGGCCUGCUGGAGCAGAUGAGAGAGUUGAAGCAGCACUGUGAAGGAGACAGAGAUGUCCUCAAUCAGACCUUGGAGGACCAGAGGAAACAGGCUGAACAAAGUGUGAAUACAGCUACACAGCUCUCUGCACAACUCCUGGACAAGGAGGCUCAGUUAGCAGAGGCUCUCUCCACUGCUGAGGAGCUUCAGCAGUGUUACUCCAAACAGAACAGAGAGAAAAGCCAGCUGGAGUUGGAGAACAGCACCUUAAAUAAGUCAGAGACUCUUUCUUCACUUGCUUUACGUGUUCACUGAAGCUCAAACAUGAGCAUUUUACUCACUUUACAUUAUCCAUAUUAUCUUCAUCUUUACUUCAUCUGUAUUCUUUUUAGCAUAAUGAUCAAUAUUGAAUUAAAAACAUUUAAACCAUGAUCCUUAAGAUUAUACUUUUUAUUACAAUUUAAAAUACAGGUAAAAUGUAAUUUAUUCUUGUGAUGGCAAAGCUGAAUUUUCAGCAGCCAUUACUCCAGUCUUUAGCAUCACAUACUUUUUCACAUUACAGCAAUGAGAAUAAUGAUAUAUAUAUAUAUAUAGUAAUGAUAAUUAAGGGGAAUAAUUUAUUCAAAGUAUAAUUUCUUGUUAAUUUCUUGUUUUUUGACUUUUGAGGAUUGAAAUAUAAUAUAAACUCAAAAAAAUCCUCUUUGGUUUUUUUUUGUCAAGUUUCCUGAUAUUUACCCAAUUACCAUA
ensembl:lncRNA